rnacentral:rRNA from 1 species
AUUGAACGCUGGCGGCAGGCUUAACACAUGCAAGUCGAGCGGGGUGAUGGUGCUUGCACUAUCACUUAGCGGCGGACGGGUGAGUAAUGCUUAGGAAUCUGCCUAUUAGUGGGGGACAACAUCUCGAAAGGGAUGCUAAUACCGCAUACGUCCUACGGGAGAAAGCAGGGGAUCACUUGUGACCUUGCGCUAAUAGAUGGGCCUAAGUCGGAUUAGCUAGUUGGUGGGGUAAAGGCCUACCAAGGCGACGAUCUGUAGCGGGUCUGAGAGGAUGAUCCGCCACACUGGGACUGAGACACGGCCCAGACUCCUACGGGAGGCAGCAGUGGGGAAUAUUGGACAAUGGGGGGAACCCUGAUCCAGCCAUGCCGCGUGUGUGAAGAAGGCCUUAUGGUUGUAAAGCACUUUAAGCGAGGAGGAGGCUCUUUUGGUUAAUACCCAAGAUGUGUGGACGUUACUCGCAGAAUAAGCACCGGCUAACUCUGUGCCAGCCGCCGCUGUAA